UACGUAGGGUGCAAGCGUUAAUCGGAAUUACUGGGCGUAGAGCGUGCGCAGGCGGUUUUUGUAAGUCUGUCGUGAAAUCCCCGGGCUCAACCUGGGAAUUGCAUUUGUGACUGCACGGCUAGAGUGUGUCAGAGGGGGGUAGAAUUCCACGUGUAGCAGUGAAAUGCGUAGAGAUGUGGAGGAAUACCGAUGGCGAAGGCAGCCCCCUGGGAUAACACUGACGCUCAUG
rnacentral:rRNA from 1 species